GCGCAGCAGGCGAGAAAACUUCACACUGUGCGAAAGCACGAUGAGGGAAUCCCAAGUGCUUGCACGUAAGUGUAAGCUGUUUCUCUGUUUAAAACGCAGAGAGAGUAAGGGCUGGGUAAGACGGGUGCCAGCCGCCGCGGUAAUACCUGCAGCUCAAGUGGUGACCGUUAUUAUUGGGCCUAAAACGUCCGUAGCCGGUUUAAUAAAUGCCUGGGUAAAUCGUGUAGCUUAACUAUACGAAUUCCGGGUAGACUGUUAAACUCGAGACCGGGAGAAGUUAGAGGUACUCCUGGGGUAGAGGUGAAAUUCUGUAAUCCUAGGGGGACCACCAGUGGCGAAGGCGUCUAACUAGAACGGGUCUGACGGUGAGGGACGAAGCCCUGGGGCGCAAACGGGAUUAGAUACCUGUGUAGU
rnacentral:rRNA from 1 species